UGUGCAGAUACAUCACGCACAUGCAUGCAACAAAAGCUAUAAAGACUUAAAACACUAUACGAAAGUUUCGCCGUUGUUUGGAAAAACCUAUAGCAAAAGUUUCAUCGUAGUUUCGUUCUCGUAGUUAGCACUGGGAAAAAACAUUAAUUUACUUUAAAUGAUCCACCUUAUGCAAGUGCCCUUUCGCAGCUCAAUGCUAUUGGGAACCAAAUUUUAACGCAGACUGAUACUGUUAGGGAGAUCUGUAAGCUUAUCAUCUUCAUAUCCUGACGGCUCCAAAUUAACGCCACGGGAGAUAUUUCUUGCGAUAGCUGUGAAUGUCAUCGACUGCUUGGCUGCCUUGCUAAGGACUCCUUAUGAACGACUUCACGAAGUUUCCUGUUUUGAUACAGAGUGGAACCUAAAGGCGAAAUUAUACGAACCAACAAACACCUAUCAAAAGAGCACGUGACGAGGAUCUGAUCGGAAAACCUUAACUUAUCUUAUGUCAACUCAGGAAAAUAUCAUUUAUAUUUUCCAUUUUUUGCUUAAAACGAUAUAUAGAUAUAUAUAUAAACCCGUUUUCAAAAGCGUCGCAAUUUUAAGACAUAUAUGAAAUAUAUACACCUUUUGUUUUUCCAUUUAAAUGGUGUUGAUAGAGUAAGUUAUAGGGACAUUUUCUCAAAAGGAAAGUAAAAUAGCCGCUAACAACAACAACGGUGUCUUUUCCUUUGCUAUGAAAUAUACACGCAUUGUGCAUCAUCUUUUCGAUGAGAAAAGAAAAGGUAUACAUAUAUAUUUAUUGUAUAUUUCUAAAUUGCAACGCUUUUUGAAGGCGGGUGUGUAUAUAGAGGUUUCUUAGCCCUUAAGCAUUUGUUUGACAAUAUUUUGACACCGUCACAGUUUUCUGAUUGCCUCUCUUGCCAAUAUCUAUUAAAAUAAUCAAACAACUCAA